CCUUUCUUUUCUUCUUUCAGUUGGCGCAUGCGCAGCGGCUACGGACACUACGGACCCCUCAGAAGCUUCGACGUGAUGCGUGUUUUGGGUGUUGUGGAGACCGUGUAUCGCCGGAUGAACUCUCGUGGUGUUUGAGACGCCUGAGUGACAACGAUAGACUGUGUAUGUGACACCUCCGUCCGUCACAGCUGCGAAAUCGGUGCAAAAAGUGCGGGAUAUCUUAACUCGUGGAUGGCACCUGGACGGUGACUUUGUGCAUGUGUUGGCGGUUGGGCGGCCGGGACUGCAUCAGUCUACACACUUCACCUCCGUCAGUUACCAGACAUCUAUGCAACUUUGCUAGAGUGUUGCCCCUCACCUGGUGCAUCAAUACUUCCUACAAUACCUGCAACAUACUGUGUUGUUUCGGGCUCUGCGAGGAAUCCAGCUCAACAUAUUAUUCUCAAAAAAAAGCUCUUGUUUGCUUUGUUGCGUGACACAGCUGUUUGAUCUAUGACCGAUGUGCUGACUUUACCACCAGUGGUAUUCUCCUGCUGAACAGGUGUAAUGCAAAUCUAUGUGCUGCCCCCUAAUUUUACCGAAAUCUUCACCAAAAAAAUGUUUCAUUGAAGUUUUAGCUAUUUAGUUUUCAUGUUUUAAAAAAGAAACUCAUUGUGCUAUCAGAGAAUGUAGCUCAUUCAUGGUAGUGUAUGAGAUGGGAUUUAUGUCGUUCUUGAGAAUUGGUUUCAUAGUUUGUGCAUUUGCGUGUGUUAGUGUCAUUGACGUGAAGACUACACAAAUGGUAGGUUGAAUUGACAAAAUUAGAAUUAUAAUGUUAGGAGACCCAGCAAAAAAAUGAGAGUGUGAUUGGCAACCGGACUCUAGAAUCCGUACAAGAAUAUGUAUGUCUAGGUCAGUUACUAAUACUAAUUAAAAUGAAAUUCACUAGGCUGGAGUGCUUACUAAAAACAUUUCCAAACCAUGACAAGCAAUUUUCCACUGUCCCUAAAGCUGAAGGUGUACAACAAUUGUAUAGUGCCAGUACUAACAUCUGAAGCAGCGGCUUUGCGAGUAACAAGAAAACUCGAGAAAAAGUUGAGAAGCACUAGCUUGUGAUGGAAUGGAAAAUUAUAGGCGUAACAUUAAGAGAUAGGAAGAGAGUGGAGUGGAUAAGAGAACAAACAGGGACAUCAAAAAAGUGAGCCUUGGCAGAUUGCACAAGGAGGACAAAUAACUGAUUGGUCAGUUAGGGGAGUCUGUAUGCGGCAUGUGCAGGUUGUGAACUGUUAUUCGAUAAUUUUAACAAUUUAAAAAAAAAACAUUUUAUACGUGAUCAGCCUCGAGAAAUUCGUAGCAUGGCCUCACUCGUAAACUGUGCAAUCCAGGGCCCUUUUGCCAAAGGACCUUGGCGAGCAAGAAGCAAUGUUUAAUUUACACUGCAAGUAGUCAUUGUAGUCGUAGAUAGGGAUUGUA